CGGAGGUUUCUGCAUCUCUAUGGUCUGGGCCUCAGGCGGCAGAGCCUGAGGUCUCUGGUGCAAAAGAAAGUGGCCUCGCAGCGAGGAGGGGAAGGAGCAUCGGUUCAUCUCUUCGUGAUCCCUUUCCUACCCCUUCACACUCGUGCGCACCUGGCAGUACCACCAGCAGAGUCUCGGAAAUUGCUUUCAUCACGAUUUAACAAAAUGAAGACACAGGAACACACUAGGACAUCGCCAAAGUCAACAAGUCUCUCUAGCGGUUUUUCCGGGAAUACCCCAAAGGUGGGACUGUGUCUUAUUCACCUUUGUACUCUGGGUGCUUAACACUGUUCCCACCCCAGAAAUGGUGCUCAAUAAAGUCUUCUUGAAGAAAACAGAAUAGCCUCGAGUCCAGAGCUGAGAAAGAAGUCGGAACAACUAGUGAAAAGGAAUCAUCUCUUUCCUUGGAGACUAAAAGGAGAAAUGAGCAUUCUCUUCAGAUCCAGAUCGAUCCAGUCUACCUUCAAGAAAGACCGCCCUGCAAGGCCGGUAUUCAUACGCAAACAUUCAGACAUAAAAUGCAAAGCGUAGAGGAAGCUUAAGAUACAGUCAACAAGGCCGGGCAUGGUGGCUCACAACUGUAAUCCCAGCAUUUUGGGAGGCCAAGGCCAGAGGAUCCUUUGAGCCCAGGAGUUCAACACCAGCCUGUGCAACAUAGCAAGACCCCAUCUCAACAAAGAUACAGUAAGACACUAGGGAAGGGGCAGGCUUCAUUAGGUGCCUGGAGCAGAUGUGUCAGGCCGGCCUGGAAACCCUUGAAAACCCUUUCUUUCUUUUUUUUUUUGAGACGGAGUCUCACUCUGUUCCCCAGGCUGGAGUGCAGUGGCCGGAUCUCGGCUCACUGCAAGCUCC